GUGAGGAAUAUUGGUCAAUGGGGGCAACCCUGAACCAGCCAAGUCGCGUGAAGGAUGAAGGUCUUAUGGAUUGUAAACUUCUUUUACACGGGAAUAAAGUGGGGGACGUGUCCCCCUUUGCAUGUACCGUGUGAAUAAGGAUCGGCUAACUCCGUGCCAGCAGCCGCGGUAAUACGGAGGAUCCGAGCGUUAUCCGGAUUUAUUGGGUUUAAAGGGUGCGCAGGCGGGAUGUUAAGUCGGCGGUGAAAUUUUGCAGCUCAACUGUAAAAGUGCCUUCGAUACUGGCCUCCUUGAGUGUGGAUGAAGUAGGCGGAAUUUGUGGUGUAGCGGUGAAAUGCUUAGAUAUCACGAGGAACUCCGAUUGCGCAGGCAGCUUACUAAGCCACAACUGACGCUCAUGCACGAAGGCGUGGGGAUCAAACA
rnacentral:rRNA from 1 species